rnacentral:rRNA from 1 species
GUAAUUCCGGUGAAGAUGCCGGAUACCUGCGACAGGACGGAAAGACCCCAUGGAGCUUUACUGUAGCUUGACAUUGGGUCUUGGUACUACAUGUACAGGAUAGGUGGGAGGCUUUGAAACCAGGACGCCAGUUUUGGCGGAGCCAUCCUUGGGAUACCACCCUUGUAGUACUGGGACUCUAACCAUAGGCCAUGAAUCUGGUCUUGGGACACUGUCAGGUGGGCAGUUUGACUGGGGCGGUCGCCUCCCAAAAGG